GACGAACCGUCCAAACGUUAUUCGGGAUCACUGGGCUUACAGAGUUCGUAGGCGGCCUGGAAAGUUGGGUGUGAAAUCCCUCGGCUCAACCGAGGAACUGCGCUCAAAACUACCCGACUCGAGGGAGAUAGAGGAAAGCGGAACUGAUGGUGGAGCGGUGAAAUGCGUUGAUAUCAUCAGGAACACCGGUGGCGAAGGCGGCUUUCUGGGUCUUACCUGACGCUGAGGAACGAAAGCUAGGGGAGCGAACGGG
rnacentral:rRNA from 1 species